rfam:Sphaerobolus stellatus SS14 unplaced genomic scaffold SPHSTscaffold_25, whole genome shotgun sequence.
GACGAUGUAGCCAAGCGGUUACGGCGAUUGAUUAGAAAUCAAUUCCUCUUUGAGGGCGUAGGUUCGAAUCCUGCCAUCGUCG